UUUGUUUCUGAUGCUCUUUUUUUGUUUUCUUUCUUUUGGGUGUUGUGUGAUUACUGCAAAAAUAUUUUUAUUGAUUUCUUCUUUGAUUCUCAAACAGACGUGUAUUUUGUUAUUUUGAUGUUAAAAAAUUUGAUAAUUUCUUCUUGGAUUUUCCAGAACGUCCUCACUGUUAAUUUUGGUUGUUGUUAUAUAUACUGUGAAUUUGGUUUUGAGAUAACUUGUUGGAUUAUCUCUUUUCCAGAAAUUAUGGAAUGAUUAUUCUAUGGAUUUAAGGUUGUUUGAU
rnacentral:lncRNA from 1 species